rnacentral:rRNA from 1 species
UACAGAGGAUGCAAGCGUUAUCCGGAAUUAUUGGGCGUAAAGAGUCCGUAGGGGGCAUUUCAAGUCUGUCGUUAAAGACCGCAGCUUAACUGCGGGCCAGCGAUGGAAACUGAAAAGCUAGAGAGCAGUAGGGGCAGAGGGAAUUCCCAGUGUAGCGGUGAAAUGCGUAGAGAUUGGGAAGAACAUCGGUGGCGAAAGCGCUCUGCUGGGCUGAAUCUGACCCUGAGGGACGAAAGCUAGGGGAGCAAAAGGG